ensembl:lncRNA
AAUUUGGUUGCCAGCCAUCUGAAUGUCGCAGUAGAAAUGGAGACUCAGCCAAUCUUCUACUGUCCAACUUUGCUAUAUGAACUAUAGACUCAGUUUGCUGUUCGUGGCUUGCAGGAGCAUCAUCCGGUGUUGGUUUUCUGCGGUUGUAGUUAAUCAGCUUUAGCGUUUGAUGUGUUGUGUAUUCAGAGAUGCUCUUCUGCAAACUGUGGUUGUAACAAAUAGUUAUUUGAGUUACUGUUCUUUCCUAUUGGCUCAAAGCGGUUUGGCUGUUCUCCUUUGAUCUCUGACGUCAACCAGAGAAUAUUUCCUCUUUUUUUUAGACCAUCAUCUGUAGAUCCCAGUAGAUCAGCAGUUUCUGAGAUACUCAGAUAAACUUGUCUGGCGCCAACAACCAGGCCACAUUAAAAAUCCCAAAACUCACCUUUCUUCCCCAUUCUGCUUUGCACUGAUUUGCUGCCAUGUGACUGGCUGAUUAGACAUUUGUGUUAACAAGCAGGUGAACAGGUGUAGCUAAUAAGUGGCUGGUGACAGUAUAUAUGAGUUCUUUUCUGGUUUUUCAGACUGUAGGUUAAGAUAGAAAUGGCUGAAGGGCUGCAUGUAUGCUUAAGUCCUACUCUGCCUUCACCCAAUCUGCAGUUGUAUGUCAAUCAGCAAGGAUCUUCAGGCAUGCUCUGUUUUCUUUUUUCUUCUUCUCUCUUUUUGUUGUUCUUUUUUCCUGUGCCUGUUUAGUGUGUGUGCGUGUGCACGCUGCUCCUUUAGUCAAUAGUGGACUCAAUCAGGACUCCAUUUUGGCAGCCCAGUAAUGAAGCUGUUGGUUGUGAUAAAAUGGAGGAAAAGUCCAGCUUCCUCCACUGAGCUGCAGAGACGACCACAGGAGACACAUUUUCCACCGCUGACCGUUCAUGACUGUGCUUUCAAAGAGCUGGUAAAGGUGUGUGUGUGUGUGUUUUGAAUUCCUGUGUGUCAGCGUGUAAUUAAAUCUUUGCUGACAUGAAGUGAGUGUGUGUCCCUGCUUCAUGGUGAGAGCAGCAGUCAGAGGGGUUCAGACGCCUCUCUGCUUUCCCUUAAGGACCGGCAUCAGCAUAACACACACACACACACACACACACACACACACACACACACACACACACACACACACACACACAGGGCAAGACAGAAAGGUACCAGGCAUCCUUAAAUACACACUGCAUUGCCAUACACACCUUCCUGUGGGUGUGUCAGCAUGUAG